ACGGGGUGCAGCAGGCGCGAAAACUUCACAAUGUGCGAAAGCACGAUGAGGGAAUCCCAAGUGCUUGCACGUAAGUGUAAGCUGUUUCUAUGUUUAAAACGCAUUGAGAGUAAGGGCUGGGUAAGACGGGUGCCAGCCGCCGCGGUAAUACCUGCAGCUCGAGUGGUGGCCGCUAUUAUUGGGCCUAAAACGUCCGUAGCCGGUUUAAUAAAUGCCUGGGUAAAUCGUGUAGCUUAACUAUACGAAUUCCGGGUAGACUGUUAAGCUUGAGAUCGGGAGAAGUUAGAGGUACUCCUGGGGUAGAGGUGAAAUUCUGUAAUCCUAGGGGGACCACCAGUGGCGAAGGCGUCUAACUAGAACGAGUCUGACGGUGAGGGACGAAGCCCUGGGGCGCGAACCGGAUUAGAUACCCGGGUAGUCCAGGGUGUAAACGCUGCUUGCUUGAUGUUAGUCGGGCUUCGAGCCCGAUUACUGUCGGAAAGAAGUU
rnacentral:rRNA from 1 species